UUCAGGAUUUUUCACUAAUGCCUGUCAGUUACAAGCACACAGCCACGGUAUGUACAAAACUGUCAGAGGUUCUCAGGAAGUCUAUAUUCAUCCAUCGUCUGUAUUAUUCAGAGUCAAUCCGAAGUGGGUUAUCUACCAUUCUAUUGUCUCAACUGAUCGACAAUACAUCCGCAAUGUCAUUUCCAUUGAUUCAUCUUGGUUGAUGGAGGCUGCACCACAUUUUUACCAGCAUCGGCACAAUCACAUUGCAUACUGAUUGUUCUGAAUUUUCCUAGAAAUGUCACAGAAAUGUAUGUUGAUCGUGAUUCUCAACUCAACAAAGACAAUAUUAUACUGAUUAUUGGAAAAUAACACCUGCAUUAUCUGUUUCUGGUACUGAUUUCUUUUCUAGCUAAACAAAAAUUUUCUCUGUA